AAAAUGACGUCACUGUAGAUCCAACGAAGUGCACUGAAAAGUCCACUGGUGGGUUCCAAAACAAUACUACCCACACAAGUGGUGGCCGCACAUAUCCACCGUUCAAUCGCAAUUUCUGUUAUAUUGGGCAAGACACUGGCAAUGGAAAGUGGAAUGAUUGCUCUGGUCGAUUGAAUAGUGUUGUCAUGACACUCCCACAGACAUGCAUUAUAUACAGUCAAGUUCCCCAACGGAAAUGCCGGCGGCCCAAUCCAAGUCCAACGCGUAAGUAUCCCAAGCAUCUGUCUCCAAUGAGAUGGCAGAAUAUUUCUCAGUGUGCAAUACUGACAUCAAAGUGUUAUAUCUGUCUGUCACUAACAGCCAUCAGUUGAUUUGUGUCUUGUAUUUUUGCAUUUUAUUUUGUAUGAUUUUACUGUCAUUCAUCUUAAAAAAAACUGGAUAAGUUAUAAGGUAACUCAUUUCUUUUCACAAUUUUAUUGGUUACUCUAUCACAUACUAAAGGCAUGCAGGUAUACAGUACAGUAGAUAAUUGCUUUUAACUGAAUCACUUUUCAGAAGAAAUGAAGCAUUGUUUCAAUGAGCUGUAAGGGUACCAACAAAUUUGUCCACAUCUGUAGAUAUAAAUAAAAAAUAUAUGUAUAGUUUACCCAUGCAUACUCUCAUGGCUAUCUUGGAAAUUGGGAAAGUUAAAAGGUAACCAAGUAUCUUGGUGAUUCCUCUGACUAUUAGAAGAAGCUUUUUCUUUGUCUAACAAGCACCCCUCUCUGCAUACUCUACAUUCCUUCUUAUCUGAUCCCACAGUUGGUCAGUCGGGCCGUUUCUAUGUUCUUUACUUUUUAUUUCAAAUGAAUUAAUCAAUAUAUUUAUUGUUAAACAUGGAUAGCAGAUUAUUGUAAUAAGCCAACCACAGAUUGUCAUUUACAAAUGUUUAAUUGAGACUGUGAUUAUAGUGAACUAACGGCCACGCCUAACUCUAUCUCGGGUUACAAUGUGCUGUCAGGAUGUGGAAUUUGGAAUGUAACUUAUGUAAAACUAAUCUAAAAGUGUCAACAUGCGGUGAUGUGCAACAAUAACCACCCAUACUAAGUACUGAUAUGGGUCAUCAACAUGCACGGUGUGAAUUAGAGUGUGAAUUAAUUAAUGUAGAUUGUAUGAGGUGUGAACCUCUAGGUUGGUAUGACGAUGCUCCUAAAUUGAAAUCUGGUCAGGUAUUGUCAUAAAAUGGUACGUAUCCAAAAAAUGUCUCCCUCAUCGAGACAUCACUCACCACAGUCGGAGCAUACACUGAGACAACAGACAGGACACCCAAGGAGUGCCUUAGCCUGAAUCUCAUAAUACGCUCAAAGCUAAUUUUCUCGAUCUCUAAAUUUACAAGCAAUUAUUUAAAGAGACAACAUACAUUUACCAUAUGAGAAAGAGAAGUGCUUCCCCCGCUUAAUCAACUUAAAACACAUAAAACUUAUUCUCCUU